GAUGAACGCUGGCGGCGUGCCUAACACAUGCAAGUCGAGCGAACGGACGAGAAGCUUGCUUCUCUGAUGUUAGCGGCGGACGGGUGAGUAACACGUGGAUAACCUACCUAUAAGACUGGGAUAACUUCGGGAAACCGGAGCUACUACCGGAUGAUAUUUUGAACCGCAUGGUUCAAAAGUGAAAGACGGUCUUGCUGUCACGUAUAGACGGAUCCGCGCUGCAUUAGCUAGUAGGUAAGGUAACGGCUUACCAAGGCAACGAAGCAUAGCCGACCUGAGAGGGUGAACGGCCACCCUGGAAGGGAGAAACAGCACAGACGCCGACGGUAGGCAGCAGCCGGGAAUCUUCCGCAAUGCGGGAAAGCCUGACAGAGCAAAGCGGCGGGAGUGAUGAAGGUGCUCGGCUGGGAAAGCUCUGUUAGCAGGGAAGAACAUAUGUGUAUGUAACUGUGCACAUCUUGACGGUACCGAAGCAGAAAGCCCCGGCUAACUACGUG
rnacentral:rRNA from 1 species